AAGGGGACACCAACAUCUGGAGGUGUCACUGAUUCAAGGGAACACCAGCAUCUGGGGGUGUCACCACCCUAAAGGGACACCAACAACUGGAGGUGUCACCAGCCCUGGAGGUGCCACCAGCUCCAAAGGGACACCAACAUCACCAACAUCUGGAGGUGUCAUUGAUUCAAGGGGACACCAAUAUCUGGAGGUGCCACCAGCCCUGGAGGUGCCACCAAUCUCAGAGUGUUACCAAGUCUGGAAGUGUCACCAGCCCCAAGGGGACACAAAUGUCUGGAGCUGCCAUCAGUCCCAAAGUGCCACCAACCCCUGGAGGUGUCUCCAACAUCUGGAGGUGCCAUCAGUCCCAAAAUGCCACCAGUCUCUAAAAGUGUCACCAAUGCCCAGAAGAGCCACCAGCCAAGAU